rnacentral:rRNA from 1 species
UACGUAGGCAGCGAGCGUUGUUCGGAGUUACUGGGCGUAAAGCGUGCGUAGGUGGUUCGGUAAGUCGGGUGUUAAACCCCCAGGCUCAACCUGGGGACGCCACUCGAUACUGCUGUGACUUGAGUCCGGUAGGGGAGCGUGGAAUUCCUGGUGUAGCGGUGAAAUGCGCAGAUAUCAGGAGGAACACCAGCGGCGAAGGCGGCGCUCUGGGCCGGUACUGACACUGAGGAGCGAAAGCGUGGGUAGCAAACAGG